rnacentral:rRNA from 1 species
UAGUCAUAUGCUUGUCUCAAAGAUUAAGCCAUGCAUGUCUAAGCACAAGCCGAUUAAUGGUGAAGCCGCGAAUGGCUCAUUACAACAGCCAUAGUUUCUUAGAUCUUACUUUUCUACUUGGAUAACUGUGGUAAUUCUAGAGCUAAUACACGCAAACAAGCUCAGACCUUACGGAAUGAGCGCAUUUAUUAGAACAAAAACCAAUCGGGCUUCGGUCCGUCAUUUGGUGAAUCUGAAUAACUUUGCUGAUCGCACGGUCUUCGUACCGGCGACAUAUCUUUCAAAUGUCUGCCUUAUCAGCUUUCGAUGGUAGUUUAUGCGCCUACCAUGGUUGUAACGGGUAACGGAGAAUAAGGGUUCGACUCCGGAGAGGGAGCCUGAGAAACGGCUACCACAUCCAAGGAAGGCAGCAGGCACGCAAAUUACCCACUCCCGGCACGGGGAGGUAGUGACGAAAAAUAACGAGACGGCUCGCUAUGCGGUCCGUCAUCGGAAUGGGUACAAUUUAAAUCCUUUAACGAGGAUCUAUU